GCUGUUGAUUUCGAAACAUCAAAUGCUUAUGUUCCCCCUGCCGUCGCAAGACGGCUAUGGUGAUAAACGGACGAUGAAAUAAGCCCAUUGGACCCGGGGGCGGUACCCGGCGCCUCCACCACAAUGCAGCAAACCAAGCGCUGCCUUGUGGCGGGGGCGAAAUAGGAUCGACAAGGGUGUAAAGAUCGAACUUUUGCCCGGCAUUGUACCACCGUUAUCGGGCUAAAUCUGUAGUUGCAAACGACAACUAUGCGGAAGCACGUCUCGCUGCUUAAUGCAGUGCGAUAGCUUCAAAUCAAGUCCUAGGGGUUCGCACUUCUAGGCGGGGUUCGGAGGUACCUGGCAACAGAAACCUCCACU
rnacentral:tmRNA from 1 species